GUGCUCUGUGUUCCAGCAUUGUGUCAAUAAUAAGUGUUGCUGUGAAGAGAACAAUAGUCAGACUGAAUGUUGAACAUCAGCUAGUUUCUCCUGCUGAUUUAAACCUUGUUGGACAGAUGGAACAUUGGCUGUGGAUUAUUCUAGCUGCUCUUUUCUUUGAGUGUAAAGGAGACUCAGUGACGCAGACAGAAGGACAUGUUGCUGCUGCUCAAGGAGAAUCUGUGACUCUGGGAUGUAUUUUUGAAACCAGUGGUACUCAAAGAUUGUUCUGGUAUAAACAAGAAGAAAACAGCUUUCCAAAGUUCAUGCUGAAACAAAUUACUUCAACGAAAGAAAAAGCUCCAGAGUUCAACAAGGAAAGAUUUGAAGCUGACAUCAACGGUGACAAGAAAUCCUUUAAUCUGACGAUCCAGGAUCUCCGUCUGUCAGACUCUGCUGUGUACUACUGUGCUCUGCAGCCCACAGUGACAGGAAACACCAGAACUCUGUACAAGAACCUGCAAUACUCCAACACAUCCACCAGAUGUCUGUUCAGCAGGAGGAAGAGGAGCUGAGAGCUUCAGGGAGGAGCUGAGCUGUUACUGAACUAUAGAAGAGACACAAACUUCCACAUUCAACACAGUUCAA